UACGAAGGGGGCUAGCGUUGCUCGGAAUCACUGGGCGUAAAGCGCACGUAGGCGGAUUGUUAAGUCGGGGGUGAAAUCCUGGAGCUCAACUCCAGAACUGCCUUCGAUACUGGAGAGCUUGAGUCCGGAAGAGGUGAGUGGAACUCCGAGUGUAGAGGUGAAAUUCGUAGAUAUUCGGAAGAACACCAGUGGCGAAGGCGGCUCACUGGUCCGGUACUGACGCUGAUGUGCGAAAGCGUGGGGAGCAACAGGG
rnacentral:rRNA from 1 species